rnacentral:lncRNA from 1 species
GCUCUCUCAUCUCUCAUCUUGUAGGCAGUAAUAUUUUGAUGAAUGUGUUACAAAACAAAUUCCGUAUUGACAUUCAGUAGCUUAGAGAGAGUAGCACAGAGAAACGUUGUUGUGUUGUGGAUGACAAAGAACACAUGUGACAGCAAGUCCAGGUAUUACUACAUGGGGAGUACAAAAUUACUUUUACUGAGAGAUCACUUGAAUCCUUGAUAGCUACUAGCCAUAGGAACCUAACCCAGAAAAAAUGUGCGAAAAAGAAACAUUUUGUACUACCAUUAGUCAUCGAUGGCGUGUAAUGUUAUAUUUUCUUGCUUCCCUAGCGUUGAAUUAGAACAGCAUUUUCAAGAGCUGCAUUAGCUCAUUACUUAUCUCUUGUACUGUUAAUUUUAUUUUCAAAACCAAACUUGUACUGGGCACAUGAGUUCCGAUAGUAGCUUCUCUUUGACAGAUUUUACAUAAUCAAGCAUUCUUGAUGUGCUGCCUUUCUUCCAGAUAUAUAGAUUCAGUUUUGAAUCCGAUUCUCAAAUCAGACAAUCAUAAUUCUAUUGCCAGUUCUGAAACAAAGAAAUGUUUGCGUAACAGUCCCAUAAACAGCACCAAAACGAAUCCCCAUCCUUGGUAACUUGCUGGCUUUGAUCUUCCAGGGCAGCAUGAAUGAUCAGUACUCCCUUUAAUCAAUGCGCGCUCAUCGAGCCAUAGUAGCAUCUCAUUUGUCCUAAAUUCUUCCACUCUCUGGAAACAAGUCCCGGAAUGGAUGUGAAUAGAGUAUACUCCCAUGGUUUUGCGAGAAAUCGUACAAUAAGAGUACCGUUCACUAUGUAUUUUAUCAUCAGUUAAAAAAUAAUCACAGAAAAAGUUCAAUUGUGUUAUUGAAACAACUCAAUUUAUAAGUAUUAUAUUAUAUGAUAAGUGAUGCAUAGGGAUGUUGCAACAGUUCGACUCACAGAGCUAGUAAGUUCGACGAAAAAACAGCACAAGGCAUGUCAGUUCGCGCAGAGCAUAUCAGUCUUUCAAUUCGUGAGCUCGUCAGUUCACCGAUGGGAUCCGCAGCUCCCAGGUGGUUCACAGCCGCCGCCCUAGUCCGUUCAUCACUGCCAAUCGAGGCCGUUCGAC